rnacentral:rRNA from 1 species
AACGUAGGUGGCGAGCGUUAUCCGGAUUCAUUGGGCGUAAAGCGCUUGUAGGUGGCCUUGUAAGUUGGACGUGAAAUCUCCCGGCUUAACCGGGAGGGGUCGUUCAAUACUGCAGGGCUGGAGGAUGUCAGAGGGCAGCGGAAUUCCUGGUGUAGCAGUGAAAUGCGUAGAUAUCAGGAGGAACACCCGUGGCGAAGGCGGCUGCCUGGGGCAUCACUGACGCUGAGAAGCGAAAGCGAGGGGAGCGAACGGG